AACAACAAACAAAGCCAGCAACCAUGAUUAUACACAACAUAGCUAUACGGCUAAAAUGCUACAGCAGCAUCGCUUAGAAGAAUAAAGAAAAAGAAGAACGCAUUUUGAAACCAAAAGAGAUGAAGGGUUACCUGCUUCGGGGCAGCAAAACAGGACUCCCAAGCUAAUAUUAGACUCCAACACCACCGAAAAUCGGACCCUCUAGAAUGAUGAGUAAUUGACAACUCGAAAUAAACUUAUUGGAAAAUCAAAGUUUUACUGCGUUUUCUUCUUCCCCUCCCAGACCCUAAAGAAACAUGUUUCCAACCUAGAUUUAAACAGUAACCCCUUUCCCAAAGAAAGAUCUCCCCAAGCUUCUAACUCCAGAAACUUUUAUUCAAAUUUUCGAACCGUCGCCUCUUCGAGAAAAGAACCCCCAGAAAACCUCUCCAAAUCCCUUACUUUGAAUCAAAAUCGACCCAAACCCUAAAUUUCUCCACUCUUAGAACCUUAGAGCUCCCAGAAAAAUCCUCCUCUUCAGACCCUAAAGAGAGCUAUUUAUAGAAGGGGGGGUUGAGGGUUCGUUUUGAAUCCUCACAAAUCGCACCCCUAUUGUUCUUCUUGAACGGAUUUUCAACAGAUGGCCAACAACCAUUGGGGCAAAAUGAACGAAUGAAAAUUUGCCGAACAGGUAUGAAUCCGAAAAUCACGGAAUUCGGACGUUGGGGGUAACACCUCACUCUCUUUCUAGAAGAUUUCGUACCAAAAUCAUGUGGGAAAGCACGCGACUGUGAAGAGGAAGCAGAAAACGGGUUGAGAUAAGGGGAAUCGGGGGGGAAAUAGGUUGGGGUUUUGCAUGGUUGUUUUCGCAUUGCUGUUGGUGUAGCUUGUACGCGGUUUUUGUCGUGGCUGUUGUUUGUUUUUGGUGAGCUAUAAGCAGCUUUUGCUUAUUGAAGAAGAAAGGAUUAAAUGGUGUGGGCCGGGUAGGUUUUGUAGAUGUUUGUGCUGUUGAAAUUCGGGGCUAAUUUGGCAAAGUCAAAAGGAAAUUGGGCUUGGGCUUGUUAAUUUGAAGAGUGGCUUGGCAAUUUAAAAACUGAAAUUGAGGUUAUUAUAACACACCAAUUUGGCCUGAAAAUGCCCCGUUUAUGCCGUUUUACCCAUUUGACUACCCAAAAUAUCCUUGAAUAAAUAAAAAAAACCACACUGCGACGAUCCCCAACCUCUCUGGCAUACCCCGGUUGAUUUUUGGCCCACGUCACCCCCAAACCCUAGGCUACCCCCGAAGUCGUAGGCUUUAGCUUGAAUACACCCGUUUGCAUCGUUUGACCACCCAAAUGGCCUCGAAUAAAUAAACGAACCCUGGCAUCCUCAGUCAAUUCUUCACCCACGACACCUAUUUUGCGGAGAAAUUUUGACUUUUUGAGAAGAGUUACCACUUAAUUUUAAAAAAAAAUUAAGAAACCUGUAAAGAGUUACUUCAAACGAUCUAAAACCAAAAAAUCAUUUAAGUUAAGAGAUUCUGAAUAAGCGGUUCUUAUUAACGUUUUAGGAAGGUGUUAGGCACCUAAAAUGUCUUCGAUUAACUUCUGAAAUUUGAUUCAUUGAAAAAUGGUUGGUUUGCAAAAAAUUAAGUUUUAGCAAAUUCAUUAGGGGAUUUAACUAGGUUCGUAAAAGGCAUGCAAAACAAAUAAUCAAAAAGAAAGGGGAAGAGAGGAGAAGUAAUGAUUUAGGAUUUGAAGCCCAAACUAUUAAGCCUGUCCUAAUCUAGUUGGGUUUUCAACCUAUUUUUCCUCUCACCUGUCCUAUUUCUAUGUUUUCUGGCCCUUUGGCUCGAGUUUUCACUUUACCUGUAUUAAAUACAACUUUGGCUUCGAGGCCCAAAUGAAUGAAAAAUGAAUAAACAAAAUAAAAUAAAUAAUAAAUAAUAAAAAAACAACAACACUAAUUAAACAAAAUGAAAUAAUAAAUGAGACUUUUGUCACUUAGCCGCUUCAAAUACGGGACUUUAACCCGUUCCUUUUCUUUCGACUCUUUGUAUUUGCGCGCUAUUUAUCCGGCUUUGGGCUCUUUUUCUGGAUUGACCCAACAAGAUGGGCCUCACUGGCCCAUGAUGAAUGUGCAAGAGGGAGAGAGUUCAUGUAGGACUCAGUCGAAAGUAGGAGAGAUUAAUGUGCAGGCCCGAAGCGCAGUACACCAUACAGAUAUCCAACACAACAAAUCAAUAACAAAAGACAUGGAAUUAUUGUAAUUUUAAACAACAUAGCAAAUAGUAUGCAAAAGUAUAGAAAGUAAAAGAAACGCAAUUAUGGCUAGCACCAAUAUAUAAAUGAAACAUUUAAGACUACAUUUGUAAGAAUACUCAUAAACAGGAAUAAGCAAAUAAGGAGACGUACAAUAGAAUUGGGAAUUUAAAAUAAAUCUCUUAAGCGACCUAUUCAUAACACUAGUUGGGGAAAGAGCCAUUCUUUUCAGAGAGAUAAACCAGAGCCCCUCCCUGUACAAUUUCUUCAAAAAGGAUACAACUCCUAAACAUACCAUACCAAAAAUCGGAUAGCUUGGAACAGCGAACAACGAAAUACAAUAAUGACUUACUUAAGAAAGAGUGAAUGAAACUUGACAUAAGAGUUGUUCAAACAAGCCAAGACUCAAUAAGUUUGGAAGUUGAAGAAUAAGCAUAUUUGCACUACAGUGAGCAAGUAAGUAGCAGACCCCUGAGCAGCUAAGAAGGUCUUAAUAAUUAUCAAUCGAAUCGAAACAUGAAACUUUAAUCACAAAAGUCAGGUAAAAAAAAAUAAUUCCAACAGCCUGAAACUUUAAACACGAAACCAACUUCAGUAGGAUACUAGCGAUCCGAAACAGAUCGAAGAACCUAAGACCUUAGCUAACAAACCCGCGUUAACAAGAUACCAGUUAUUCCAAACAACAAUCAGAAGCACGAACUUCACAAAAAUGUAUGGUCUUUAAGACCUCAACAACCAACAACGCCAGCAACCACGAUUAUACACAACAUAGCUAUACGGCUAAAAUGCUACAGCAGCAUCGCUUAGAAGAAUAAAGAAAAAGAAGAACGCAUUUUGAAACCAAAAGAGAUGAAGGGUUACCUGCUUCGGGGCAGCAAAACAGGACUCCCAAGCUAAUAUUAGACUCCAACACCACCGAAAAUCGGACCCUCUAGAAUGAUGAGUAAUUGACAACUCGAAAUAAACUUAUUGGAAAAUCAAAGUUUUACUGCGUUUUCUUCUUCCCCUCCCAGACCCUAAAGAAACAUGUUUCCAACCUAGAUUUAAACAGUAACCCCUUUCCCAAAGAAAGAUCUCCCCAAGCUUCUAACUCCAGAAACUUUUAUUCAAAUUUUCGAACCGUCGCCUCUUCGAGAAAAGAACCCCCAGAAAACCUCUCCAAAUCCCUUACUUUGAAUCAAAAUCGACCCAAACCCUAAAUUUCUCCACUCUUAGAACCUUAGAGCUCCCAGAAAAAUCCUCCUCUUCAGACCCUAAAGAGAGCUAUUUAUAGAAGGGGGGGUUGAGGGUUCGUUUUGAAUCCUCACAAAUCGCACCCCUAUUGUUCUUCUUGAACGGAUUUUCAACAGAUGGCCAACAACCAUUGGGGCAAAAUGAACGAAUGAAAAUUUGCCGAACAGGUAUGAAUCCGAAAAUCACGGAAUUCGGACGUUGGGGGUAACACCUCACUCUCUUUCUAGAAGAUUUCGUACCAAAAUCAUGUGGGAAAGCACGCGACUGUGAAGAGGAAGCAGAAAACGGGUUGAGAUAAGGGGAAUCGGGGGGGAAAUAGGUUGGGGUUUUGCAUGGUUGUUUUCGCAUUGCUGUUGGUGUAGCUUGUACGCGGUUUUUGUCGUGGCUGUUGUUUGUUUUUGGUGAGCUAUAAGCAGCUUUUGCUUAUUGAAG
rnacentral:lncRNA from 1 species